rnacentral:tRNA from 1 species
GCCCGGCUGGCGGAAUUGGUAGACGCAACGGUUUUAGGUACCGUCGCUGAAAGGUGUGGGGGUUCGAGUCCCUCGCCGGGCACCA